rnacentral:lncRNA from 1 species
CAAUUAUCUUGUAAAUCGAGGUACGCCAAUGCCGGAAGGGAAAUUGAACACGCCCAUCUCACUAGGAUUGGUCAAACUUGAAGAAGCUUCUCGGUUCAUGCCUUUUUACCUUGCAUCACCUGGUAGAAACUAUAUAAUCCUUGUCGAUCAUUGAAAUAUAUGUAGAGAGAGAGAGAGAGAGAGGGAAUUGGCAGAUUUGUUUAUUGAGCAGGCAAAGCAAUUUUCAGAGACAAGGCCCAGUUAUCCACAGGAAUUGUUCCAAUUCAUUGCAACAAAAACUCCAUCUCACGAUCUCGUUUGGGAUGUUGGCACUGGAAGUGGCCAGGCUGCAGCAUCUGUGAGUCUUUCUCCUCGAACUGCACAAUUUUGAGCUAAUUUUGUGUUUUUCUUCACAAAUUAUGAUCCGGGACUUAGGUUUUAAGCCCUAAUCUCAAUUACGCGAUAUGAUAGUAAAAAUCUCGAUUUCAUUGUGUAUUGUAGUAGAAGAAGAGACACUUCAAGUGGGUUCAGAAUUUAUUUAAAGAAUUACGACUCAGUUUAAUUAUAUAUCGACUUAAUAUGAAGCUCUGCAUUGUUUUUCAGUUAGCAAAGGUCUACAAGAAUGUGGUGGGCACAGACACAAGCCAAAAACAACUUGAUUUUGCUGCCAAUUAAAACUAUACUUGCUAAUACUUCAAGAUCGGUUUAAAAAGUCCAAAACUUGCUAUAUUUUCAAAUGCCUCACUUGCUGUGUGUGUGUGUGUGUGUGUGUGUGUAUAUAUAUAUAUAUAUAUAUAUCAUGGCAUACUUUAUAUGCAGUAUUCGACUUGACUAAAGAUAUAAAAUUUACCUAUAAAGAAAGGCAUUGUCUGAAUACCUCCUUUACGUCUAGCGAGCGGCGCAGGAGUCUUUUCCACUUCUGAAUUCUCCAUAUUUUCUCAACUGGGAAGAAAAACCCUUUUGGUUUACAAGGGAAAUGAGUUGAAGGAGAGAAGGAGAGCUCAAUUUCUACAUGCUCCAGGAAACAAGAAUAGUUUGUUUCUUCUUUUAUGGAUUAUAUGGGGUGGAACGGCUAUGCUAUUUAUUUUUCUCUUCAUUAAAUUCAUAACUAUAAUUUUUGUUUUGUAUCGUGGAGCACUAAUUGCAAAAGCCAAGGAAUAUAAUAUUAAAUAUCAAUGAAUUAUAAGAGAAUUGAUUGCCAACAUUUGUGUUUUCCCUGAACAUUAGCAUUAUGGGAAAAUCCCCCUUUUUCCAGUGAAACAUCGUCACUCGGUUCUUGAAUUUGAAACAAAACCCUAUAGCAUUUUGAUAACUAGAAGAGUAAUGAAUACUUUUCGUAGAAAGAAUUUACAAUGUAGAACAAUGUGAAAGUCAUAUCAAGACUCACAACAUCUCCAAUUUCUCCUCUCUCUCUCUCUCUCAGCGGCAAU